rnacentral:rRNA from 1 species
UACGUAGGGUGCGAGCGUUAGGCGGAAUUACUGGGCUUAAAGCGUGUGUAGGCGGAUCGUUAAGUGUCUUGUGAAAUCCCACGGCUCACCCGUGGAACUGCUGGGCAUACUGGCGAUCUUGGGCCAACUAGGGGCAGCCGGAACAAGCGGUGGAGCGGUGAAAUGCGUAGAUAUCGCUUGGAACGCCGAAGGUGAAAACAGGCUGCUGGGGUUGCGCCGACGCUGAGACACGAAAGCCAGGGGAGCAAACGGG